CGUAUCGAGUGGCGAACGGGUGAGUAACGCGUGGGUAACCUGCCUCAUACAGGGGGAUAACAGUUAGAAAUGACUGCUAAUACCGCAUAAGACCACAGUACCGCAUGGUACAGGGGUAAAAACUCCGGUGGUAUGAGAUGGACCCGCGUCUGAUUAGGUAGUUGGUGGGGUAACGGCCUACCAAGCCGACGAUCAGUAGCCGACCUGAGAGGGUGACCGGCCACAUUGGGACUGAGGCACGGCCCAA
rnacentral:rRNA from 1 species